rnacentral:rRNA from 1 species
CCUACGGGAGGCAGCAGUGGGGAAUAUUGCACAAUGGGGGAACCCUGAUGCAGCAACGCCGCGUGAGUGAAGAAGUAUUUCGGUAUGUAAAGCUCUAUCAGCAGGGAAGAAGAAAGACGGUACCUGACUAAGAAGCCACGGCUAACUACGUGCCAGCAGCCGCGGUAAUACGUAGGUGGCAAGCGUUGUCCGGAAUUACUGGGUGUAAAGGGAGCGCAGGCGGGAAGCCAAGUCAGCUGUGAAAACUACGGGCUUAACUUGUAGACUGCAGUUGAAACUGGUUUUCUUGAGUGAAGUAGAGGUUG